GAUGGCUCUAACUGAACACUGUCCAAGUACUUGACACAUGCUAAUCGUACGACUAAUUAUUUUAAUAUUAUUAUAUAAUAGUUAAAUUAAGUAGUAGUGGUGUACAGGUGAGUAAAAGAUAAAUUGGCUACCUUAAAGUAAGGGAAAAAAUCCCUUAUAACCAAAGGUUUAAUUACCGCUUUAAGAUGAUAAUUUUUAUCUCGGUGAGUAGUUAGCAAAGGUAAUGACUUUACUAGCAAUAAACCGUAGUCGUAACUGGAAAGUUGAUCGACCACAUUGGGUCUGAAAAAAACCCAAUGCUUUUAUGUACAGCAGUGAGGAAUAUUGGUCAAUGGCCGAAAGGCUGAACCAGUAACUUGGAAGAAUGAUAAUGUUAACUUUGUAUCGGUGCAUUCGCGAUUAACUCGCAUAAAAUUCUAAAUAGAUUAGAUAUAAUGACAUAAUCUAUUUAUAAGUCUUGACCAAACUACGUGC
rnacentral:rRNA from 1 species